rnacentral:rRNA from 1 species
CACGCCCUAAACGAUGCGAACUAGGUGUUGGGGAAGGAGACUUUCUUAGUACCGCAGCUAACGCGUGAAGUUCGCCGCCUGGGGAGUACGGUCGCAAGAUUAAAACUCAAAGGAAUUGACGGGGACCCGCACAAGCGGUGGAUGAUGUGGUUUAAUUCGAUGCAACGCGAAAAACCUUACCCACCUUUGACAUGUAUGGAAGAUCGCAGAGACGCGAUUGUGCUCGAAAGAGAGCCAUAACACAGGUGC